UUUUCGCUCGUUAUCACUCCCGGGACCUCCGAUUCGUCUCUAGUCGUACCGAGACCCCCAAAACAUGUUUUCGAGCGCGUUUAAACCAUUUUUUCAUCCACGCUUUGCCGGAUUUUGGCCAAUAUCCAAUCAUAGCUUUUCGAGUUCCGUUUUCGCGCCCGACGCAUACCGAAAAUACUCGAACGCUCCCGAACUUCACCGGAACUGCUCCAAUAGCUUUUCGAGCAAGUUCCCACCGAAACUUCAUAACCGUA
rnacentral:lncRNA from 1 species